AGCAGUAGCCUUUGGAGGUACCAGGAGCUGAUCUGAACUGCAGAAUUUCUCCAGGAGACAUCUGAAUGAAAAAUGCAAUAUAAGAUUGGAAUAUAGGAAACGUUAGAAUCACUUGGCUUCUCCAUCCAAUCUGAGAUGGCAAUGACAACACAGCAAAUUGUAUCCCACAGGCCUCUCCUCAAGGUGGUGGGAAUUUGAUAAUGUUAACAUACGUAUCUAAGCCACAUUAAAUACUGCAGGUCUCUUACCUGGCUCCCAUCUGCAGAAGAAUAAGGGAG